UGGAGUUUGGCUCAGUGGUAGAGUGCUCGCCUGGCAUGUGUGAGGCCCUGGGUUCCAUCCUUAGCACUGCAU
rnacentral:tRNA from 1 species